rnacentral:rRNA from 1 species
CCUACGGGAGGCUGCAGUGGGGAAUAUUGCACAAUGGGCGCAAGCCUGAUGCAGCCAUGCCGCGUGUGUGAAGAAGGCCUUCGGGUUGUAAAGCACUUUCAGCGGGGAGGAAGGCGGUGAGGUUAAUAACCUCAUCGAUUGACGUUACCCGCAGAAGAAGCACCGGCUAACUCCGUGCCAGCAGCCGCGGUAAUACGGAGGGUGCAAGCGUUAAUCGGAAUUACUGGGCGUAAAGCGCACGCAGGCGGUCUGUCAAGUCGGAUGUGAAAUCCCCGGGCUCAACCUGGGAACUGCAUUCGAAACUGGCAGGCUAGAGUCUUGUAGAGGGGGGUAGAAUUCCAGGUGUAGCGGUGAAAUGCGUAGAGAUCUGGAGGAACACCGGUGGCGAAGGCGGCCCCCCGGACAAAGACUGACGCUCAGGUGCGAAAGCGUGGGGAGCAAACAGGAUUAGAUACCCGUGUAGUC